AGUGAACGCUGGCGGUAGGCCUAACACAUGCAAGUCGAACGGCAGCACAGUAAGAGCUUGCUCUUACGGGUGGCGAGUGGCGGACGGGUGAGGAAUACAUCGGAAUCUACUUUUUCGUGGGGGAUAACGUAGGGAAACUUACGCUAAUACCGCAUACGACCUACGGGAGAAAGCAGGGGAUCUUCGGACCUUGCGCGACUGAAUGAGCCGAUGUCGGAUUAGCUAGUUGGCGGGGUAAAGGCCCACCAAGGCGACGAUCCGUAGCUGGUCUGAGAGGAUGAUCAGCCACACUGGAACUGAGACACGGUCCAGACUCCUACGGGAGGCAGCAGUGGGGAAUAUUGGACAAUGGGCGCAAGCCUGAUCCAGCCAUACCGCGUGGGUGAAGAAGGCCUUCGGGUUGUAAAGCCCUUUUGUUGGGAAAGAAAAGCAGCAGGUUAAUCCCCCGCUGUUCUGACGGUACCCAAAGAAUAAGCACCGGCUAACUUCGUG
rnacentral:rRNA from 1 species